GACUCCAUGGCCCAAUGGAUAAGGUGCUGGUUUAUCAAACCAGAGAUUCUGGGGAUGAUCCCCAGUGGAGCCG
rfam:Ipomoea nil DNA, scaffold: scaffold0268, cultivar: Tokyo-kokei standard.